rnacentral:misc_RNA from 1 species
CCUAUGUAGGUAUCGGCUGGACCAUGCUGUACGUCAACCUGGCCUCGUGCCUGAAUUACAUAGCGAGCGUUGUCCACGGCGCUUUCUACCUCCUCCAUUCUUUCUCGUCAACGCUUCCAUGGACCACCUGCAAGAACAACUGGAGCGACGCCAACUGCUUUGAAAAGGACUACAGGAACGUGCCUUGCUUCCGCGUCAACGCUACCUUGGCGCGCAAGUACUCUUCGCACAACUACACCGACAAGGACGCCCUGGCGAUCCACUCGGCGUCGGCUGGCGGCGGCGCCGUAAUGGUGCCCAGCGCCGAGUACGACGCCAUGCACAGCACCUGCGUCAACGGCACGCAGACCUCCACCGAGCAGUUCCUGCUAAAGAAAGUUUUGCGCCUCAGCUCCGGCAUCGAAGAGAUCGGCGACUUGCGCCAGGACAUGCUGCUGCUGAUCAGCCUGUGCUGGCUUGCGGAGUUCCUCAGCAUCAUCAAAGGCAUUCGAAGCUACGCAAAGUUGGCGCUGGGCAUGACGUGGAUGUCGUUCGCCCUGCUGUUCAUCCUGUUCCUCUCGAGCGUAGUGCAGCGCGGCUCCAUGCGAGGAAUGGGCGCCUACUUGCACCCGGACUGGCCCAAGCUCGUAGACCUCGUGACGUGGCGGGCGGCUUCGCAGCAGCUCCUCUUCAGCAUGGGACUGUCUCUGGGCGUGCUCACUUGCCACGGCAGCUACAAGCCCUUCGAGUGGCCGCUCUCAAUGAACAUCGUGCAGCUGAUCGGGGCCGACUUCUGCUUCAGCUUCUUCGCCGGCUGCAUGGUGUUCGCGCUGCACGGGCACGCCACCGUGCUGUACGGCCUGGAGAUCGACGACCUGGUCACUUCGGGGUACCACUACGCCUUCGUCACGUACCCGGAAAGCGUCAAGCACUUCCGCCACCCGGAGCUGUGGUGCAUCGCCUUCUACCUUCUCAUCUGCGUGCUAUCCUUCGACGGCGUGGCGGCGUUCGUGGAGAUCGGAGUGUCGACCUUCAUGGACAUCUACCCGUGGCUCAAGCCGCACCGAUUGCGGUGCACCCUGGCCACAUGCACCGUCAUGUUUAUUCUGUCCCUACCCACGGCCACAGGCGGAGGCCUGUACGUUCUCAACCUGAUCGAUUCCGUCACCUACCUGGACCUGGUGCCGUGGAUCGCGUUGGCCGAAGUCCUUCUGCUAGUCAACGGAUACGACGAUCUGUCUCGGGCUCGGUCAACGCCCAGAGGAACCAGCUGCUGGACUACUCUUACCCGGCCUGGACCGGCGUCAUCCAGCUGGCCAUAGUCCUCUGCUGCAUUGUGGCCAUCAUCACGCAGGUCAUGCGCACCUUUGCCGAGAACCGCAACGAUAUAUACGCGGCGAUGGAGCCCGAGGUCGGCUACGGUCCAUCGGACCCCGAAAACUUUGCUCGCUACCAAGAGGUACUACCGGGGCGCAACGUGGUUCCCUUGACCAUCAUUAACAGCAGAGCGGGCAGGAGGAGCCUG